CCUACGGGAGGCUGCAGUGAGGCAUAUUGGUCAAUGGACGCGAGUCUGAACCAGCCAAGUAGCGUGAAGGAUGACUGCCCUACGGGUUGUAAACUUCUUUUAUAUGGGAAUAAAGUGAGGCACGUGUGCCUUUUUGUAUGUACUUUAUGACUAAGGAUCGGCUAACUCCGUGCCAGCAGCCGCGGUAAUACGGAGGAUCCGAGCGUUAUCCGGAUUUAUUGGGUUUAAAGGGAGCGUAGGUGGGUUGUUAAGUCAGUUGUGAAAGUUUGCGGCUCAACCGUAAAAUUGCAGUUGAUACUGGCAGUCUUGAGUACAGUAGAGGUAGGCGGAAUUCGUGGUGUAGCGGUGAAAUGCUUAGAUAUCACGAAGAACUCCGAUUGCGAAGGCAGGUUACUGGACUGCAACUGACAUUGAGGCUCGAAAGUGUGGGUAUCAAACAGGAUUAGAUACCCUUGUAGUC
rnacentral:rRNA from 1 species